UGUAUGUGUGUUGACUUGGUUGAUACACAAAGACAAAAAAGAAACUCUUGCAAAAAUAAAUCCUCAUUCACAACUCAUAACUUACUGUCUAGUGUGAGUUUUGAUAAUUAUGAGAAGGGAUAGG